GCAACGCAAGACUGCCACUUCGUCAGAAGUUCGGUCACGGCUUCGCUUGCAGUGUCUCUCCACCAGGGGGCGAAGCCCGGGGGAGGCUCAACACAACCCCUCCGCUCCGCUUCUCCUCGUACCAUCAGCUGAAUCUGUCCGGGACAGACCAGGGAAGAUGGCGGCCACUGACCAUUCCCGGUCCGAAGCUGCCAAACAGCGACGGCAGGAUCAGCUGCAGCGAUGGCUGGGUUCGGAGACGGAUCAGACGGGGUCGGAGGCCCGGGAAAUGUCGAGCGGUUCCGGGACGCGGCGGGCGAGAGUCCGGUUCGCCCAAGGAGCUGUGUUUAUGGCCGCCUGCUCCGCCGGAGACCGGGAGGAGGUGGCGGCGCUGCUCCGGCAGGGAGCUGACAUCAACCACGCCAACAUAGACGGACUGACAGCGCUUCAUCAGGCCUGCAUCGACGAAAACGCUGAGAUGGUGCAGUUUCUGGUGGAGAACGGGAGCGAUGUCAACACGGGGGACAACGAGGGCUGGACUCCUCUGCACGCUGCAGCCUCCUGCGGCUUCAUCCAGAUCGUUAAGUACCUGAUAGAGCACAACGCUCAAGUCGGGGCAGUGAACAGUGAAGGAGAGCUUCCUCUGGAUGUGGCCACUGAAGACCAAAUGGAGCGACUGCUCAAAGCUGAAAUCAAAAAACAAGGAAUAGACGUGGACAAGGCCCGAAAGGAGGAGGAGAGGAUCAUGCUUCAGGACGCCAUGGCAGUGCUGGCAGGAAGUGGCACUCUCACACCUCACCCAAACACCAAGGCGACAGCUCUGCACGUCGCCGCUGCCAAGGGCUACAUCGAAGUCCUGAAGGUGCUCUUGCAAUGUGGGGUUGAUGUGGACAGCAGGGACAUCGAUGGGUGGACGUCCCUGCACGCAGCAGCUCACUGGGGGCAAGAAGAAGUGUGCACCCUGCUUGCUGACAACAUGUGCGACAUGGGUGCCGUCAACAACGUGGGCCAAACACCUCUAGAUGUUGCAGAUGAGAACCUAGUGGACACUCUGGAGGAGCUACAGAAGAAACAGAACGCUCUACGCACCGAGAAGGAGAAACAGACUCCUGUUAUUGAGACCAGCCCGCAAAUUUCCAUGGUACCGGUUCGCACACGCAGGACUUCUAUCUCUCGUAUGAGCAGUAAGGAGAAAAUCUGCCUUCAUGAGCGGGAGAAGCAUCCGCCUCCUGCCCUGCAGAGCAGCCCGGCUGAGGACGAGGAGGAGGAAGGCCAGACGGCGCAGAGCCAGUCUCAAAGCCAGGCGAAAGCCUCCAGCAGCUCCAGCUCUGAGGAGGAGAGUGAAUCUGAGAGUGACGCGGAGUCUGAGAAAGCAAAAAACCGAGAGAUCAUAAACAACUUGAACAACAAACGCAACACCACCAGCCUCCUUCCUACCUCCAUGUCAACGAGUACUGCUACAAGCCAAGCUAAAAAGCAAGAAUCAAGCAAGCCCCCAGCAACCGAGGCCCCGGGCUCCUGGAGAACGUCUCUGAGGAAGGCAGGCAGCUCAGUGACUCUGGGCUCAGCUGGACUGACUGACUCCAGCCAGGACUCCAGCAGGCCACCAGAGCCCGGUCUAGGCAUGACCCGCUCUGCCUCCAGCCCCCGCCUCAGCACCGAGGCUGACACUAAGGAGCCAAGGCUCGCUCGGGUGCCGCCUAUUCCAACACGGAGACUCUUCAGUAUUCCAGACAGCAGCCCUGACAACUCCAACAGUUGGCUAAGCCGUAGCUCCUCUUACACCCGGCGCCUUCAUAGUCAAUCAGGGAAUGAUCUCACUAGUUCCAACCCUUAUUUGCCUCACAGCUCAUCUUAUGGAAAGAGACUGGAUGACCCCACCAUGACCUCAGCUAGCACAGGAACGAGCUCUACUGGACUCAGCCGCCUUAAUAGUGUCUUGGCCCAGAGACUUCCUCAGGAACAGACAGAGAAGAAGGACCAGUCUGCCGUCCCCACCUCCAACUCUCAGAACACGACUACAGGCGAACCGGAGACCAAGCAGAGACGCAAGUCCUAUCUGACACCUGUGCGAGAUGAGGAGGCAGAGGCACAAAGGAAAGCUCGCUCCCGGCACGCACGGCAGUCUCGUCGCUCCACUCAGGGGGUGACACUAACAGAUCUUCAGGAGGCUGAGAAGACCAUGAAUACCAUGAAGAUGGAGAACAAAGGGAGAGAAAAGGAGGAGGAAGAGAAGGAAAAAGAGAAGGAAGCAAAACCUAAGAAGGGAGAGGAAGGGGAAGUGAGCUGGAGGUCUCGUAUUGCCAGUCUGCAGAAGUCAGACCUGCUGGGCCUCACGCAGCCCGCUGGCACCCCGCGGACUCAGACCUCUGACAGGAAAGAUGUUGAGGCCAGCACAGGGGAGAGUGAGACAGAGCGAUGGGCCCGGGAGCGCAGGGAGAGGAGACAAGCUCGGGCCAGAAGAAAGGCACAGAGGACCGGGGAGAGUGAUGACAAUGAUCCCAGUGGAGAGGAAGAGUUCUCAGGCAGCAGGCUGGAUCCACAGUCAGACCAGCACUUGAGAUCCAGGUCGCACAUAUCCUGUAACGACCGUACCCAAGGAGGAGGCUCCGAAACCAAGGACUUUAAGAAGUUGUUUGAGGAGGUGUCCAGAGAAAACAGCCAGCUCCAGUCUCAGCUGCAGGACACUCAGAGGAUUGUCAAUCAGACCAGGUUGGACCUGGAAAAGGCCACACAGAGACAGGAGCGCUUCAGUGACUGCUCAGCCCUGCUGGACCUGGAGAGAAAGGACCGGAGGAUGUUGGAGCGGCGUAUGGCAGAGCUGGAGGAGGAGCUGAAGGCUUUUUAAACAUCAGUGUGUCCCAUGGAAGAUUAAAAAUGACACGUUUUACAUUGAACUACACCUACACCAACUUAGAAGCUAGAUAUCCUCAUUCCUGUGGCUCUGUAGAAGGAAGUCCUCAACUCUCAGCAGAAUAAUGGUUCCUGCAGCAUUUCGUGACCAAAGUUAUGAGCAGCAAAAGAUCACUGUCAAAAACUUGCCAACUGAAAAUUGACCCAGCUGUCUUUCACAUGACAUGAAUUCAGUGUCCUACUUCCUCUUUUAUGCUGUUAACCCAGAACAGCCUUAAUGCAUUUGUAUUAAUAAACCUCUUAAUAGUUAAA